rnacentral:rRNA from 1 species
UACGAGGGGGGCGAGCGUUGUUCGGAAUUAUUGGGCGUAAAGGGUGCGUAGGCGGCCUGACAAGUCUGAUGUGAAAUCCCUGGGCUCAACCCAGGGCCUGCAUCGGAAACUGUCGGGCUUGAGUAUGGGAGAGGUGAGUGGAAUUUCCGGUGUAGCGGUGAAAUGCGUAGAUAUCGGAAGGAACACCUGUGGCGAAAGCGGCUCACUGGACCAUAACUGACACUGAGGCGCGAAAGCGUGGGGAGCAAACAGG